CUCCUACGGGACGCAGCAGCCGCGGUAAUACGUAGGUCCCGAGCGUUGUCCGGAUUUAUUGGGCGUAAAGCGAGCGCAGGUGGUUUAUUAAGUCUGGUGUAAAAGGCAGUGGCUCAACCAUUGUAUGCAUUGGAAACUGGUAGACUUGAGUGCAGGAGAGGAGAGUGGAAUUCCAUGUGUAGCGGUGAAAUGCGUAGAUAUAUGGAGGAACACCGGUGGCGAAAGCGGCUCUCUGGCCUGUAACUGACACUGAGGCUCGAAAGCGUGGGCAGCAAACAGGAUUAGAUACCCGGGUAGUCCGAGAU
rnacentral:rRNA from 1 species